GCUAAAUUCCAUUUGCUCUGGAGAUUGUUGAUCACCUAGCUAUUCAUAAGGUAAGCCAUCCUAAGUUUUCUUUGUUUUGGUGAUGUCUACUUUGUGUUUAGCUAUCAUUUGCUAUAACUUUUGCUUAUAUUUGUUUACAUCUUUUUGUGUAUAGUGCUUUUUUGUUUGAGCUGUUGGAAGAAGAUAGUUGAAGAGGCUCCUUAUCAUUGUUGAAGAUGAUCUCCUCCAUGCUUUCUCGGUGGUAGCAUUGCUGGUUAUGUUUCGUUUCAGUUUUUUUAUGGCACACUUCAGUCUAUAGUAGCUUUCUUUUGACAAAACUGGUACUAUGAAGUAAUCUAGUUAUAUCAUGUUUUAGGUUUUGGAGCUCUUACUUUUGUCAUUGUACUAAGCAAUGCCGUCUUGCUUUUAAUCUAGCAGUUUGAUAAAGACUAGUUUCAUUCGUUUGCCUUCCGAAGUGUAUGCCGCUGCUACGACGUACUAAUAUUUUACUUGGCUCUCCUCUUCUGGAGUUGGAAUUUUUUUAAUCACUUGACUGCCUUUCCUGUACUUAGCAAAGACAGCUAUAAUCACUGGUGAUUUCAUAUGGAUAACUCUUUGUACUUUUUGUAGCCAAGAUGAGAGUAGUUAAUCUGUCAUUUAUCCUUAAUUAUGGUGGUUCUUUGUUUAGGCAAAAAAUUGCUACAAAUUACUUGGUCUACUUGUCAUAGUUGUGUUUGUGUGCGUAUAUCUUCCCUUCAAAUAUGUCCAUUCUACUUCAUCACAGGUUGCCCGUUUUUGAGCUCAAUAGAUACACUCAUUCCACCUUAUGAAAAAUCUGAACAAACAGUUAAGUUAAAUCCAUAACUAUGCUUACGUAAAAGAAUAUUAAUUGAGACAAAACAUUGAAGUUUUGAAAUGGACCUGACGGGCUUCAUUGUUGCUGAAGAAAUUGAUGAACUCAAGCUUGGGGUUAAAUGGACCAUGAGCUCCGGUUUAGGGCUAGGAGUGCCACGGUUAUUUAAACCAAGUUAAAGCUCCCAUUUUAAGUGCUUCUAUUUUUCCAAAAUUUUGUAGAAAUAUGAUACUUUUUUGGGUUGUUUAACUUAUACCUCUCGCUUCACUUGCCAUAUGAGUUUUUA
rnacentral:lncRNA from 1 species